UACGAAGGGGGCUAGCGUUGUUCGGAAUUACUGGGCGUAAAGCGCACGUAGGCGGAUUUGUUAGUCAGGGGUGAAAUCCCGGGGCUCAACCUCGGAACUGCCUUUGAUACUGCAAGUCUAGAGUCCGGAAGAGGUGAGUGGAAUUCCUAGUGUAGAGGUGAAAUUCGUAGAUAUUAGGAAGAACACCAGUGGCGAAGGCGGCUCACUGGCCCGGUACUGACGCUCAGGUGCGAAAGCGUGGGGAGCAAACAGG
rnacentral:rRNA from 1 species